UACGAAGGGGGCUAGCGUUGCUCGGAAUCACUGGGCGUAAAGCGCACUAGGCGGCUUCUUAAGUCAGGGGUGAAAUCCUGGAGCUCAACUCCAGAACUGCCUCUGAUACUGAGGAGCUCGAGUCCGGGAGAGGUGAGUGGAACUCCGAGUGUAGAGGUGAAAUUCGUAGAUAUUCGGAAGAACACCAGUGGCGAAGGCGGCUCACUGGCCCGGUACUGACGCUGAGGUGCGAAAGCGUGGGGAGCAAACAGG
rnacentral:rRNA from 1 species